rnacentral:lncRNA from 1 species
AAAGAGACAGAACAAUGUUAUAGGUGAGUGCAUGGACAAUGACCUCAAACAGCUAAGAUUCAAACCCCUGCGUUGAAUGAUUGAAUUGAAAUGAUUCAAUGAGCUAAUGUACAUAAAGCAUCCAGAAUGUUGCCUGGCACAAGGACUGUAUUGUCUGCUAGACCAUUUAUUCAAAGUGGGAGGAUGAUGUUCUAAAAGCCAAUGAUAAAGCUCAUGGCAAUGCAGGGUAUAUCUGAUGGCAUGGAAUGCUUUAGGAUGGCCAAGAUUGCCCAUCAAAUGCCAAGUCACCGAAGUUAUUAAUGGCUCUCCUACUAGGAGCCUGACAUCAUGGUGAGCAUCGAGAAAGGAAUAACCUAAGCUGAAGACACGCCUUUUCAGGAGGCCAAGUUCCACGUUCUGUGCAUGCUUUUGGCGAAAGUCAGGUGCCGAGACAUGAACUUUGGUCUUCUCUGCAAUCCAUCUGGAGCAUUCACUGACAACAUCGACUUUGAAGUUGCACUGACCUGGCCAGCCCUGCCACUUACCAGGCUGUGGCUUGCCUUUUCACUUCUUGUGUCCUGUUUAAGAAAUAUCUGCUAUCCCAAGCAUCUGGCAUCUUUCUUGACAUAUGUAGCAGUUGCUUUUUGACAGCUUGCUUCUUCAGUGAAUGAAUAAAUUAAUAAAGAGAAAUGUGAUGUUCAGUGAUCCAUUUUGCAGCAUUUAUUAAAUACUGGUGCAUAAUGAUGGAAUAAAUUUUAUACCGUAAGGAUAAACCAGUAUUCUGGACUAAGCCAACGUGGGAGACCCUAGGAGGCCUGUUUGAGAAAGUGACAUUUAAAUUGAGACUUGGCGGUGGCUGUGGCUACAUAUCUAAUUGCAAACUCCUAGAGAAGGGCUCAACAGUGAGUGCUGAGGCUGCACAGAGGAGGAAGGCAGCACAAUGAUGGAAGGCUUCCUAAAGAGAUAACACUAACAAAGUUGACCUUAGAAUUGGAGUGCCUGGGUUAGAACCCUGCUGGUACCACCUGCUUACUGCAUGCUUCUGAUGUGAGUUCAGGAGAAGACACUGGCAAGGACAGCAAAGAACAGGAGAACACUCUAGCUUCCCUGAUAGCAUUCAAGGUGCUGUCCAAAAGUUUCACUCUUAUUGCCCAGGCUGGAGUGGAAUGGCGCAAUCUUGGCUCACUGCAACCUCCGUCUUUCGGGUUCAAGCAAUUCUUCUGCCUCAGCCUCCCCAGUAGCUGGGACUACAGGCAUGCACCACCAUGCCUGGCUAAUUUUGUAUUUUUAGGAGAGACGGGGUUUCACCAUGUUGGUCAGGCUGGUCUUGAACUCCUGACCUCAGUUGAUCCACCGUCUUCAGCCUCCCAAAGUGCUGGGAAUACAGGCAUGAGCCACCAUGCCCAGCCUAAUUUUUCUUACAUGAGAUACGGUUUACCAAAGUCCACCUUCCACUUCUUCCUUCGUGUAUAUAUAGAGAUAGCAUUUCCUAGCUUCUCUUGCAAUUAAUUGUGGCCAUGAGCUUUGGGCAGUGGAAUGUGAAUGGAAGUGAUGUGGCCACUCCAUAUGUGUUUCUCUGUGUCCUUUCCCCUUCUAGCUGACUGUGAUGGCACCCUCCAGACAGACAGCGAUGCCACAUGUUCAAGAUGGCAGAAUCACUAUCAGCUUCAAUUCCUGAAUGACUGCAGAGCAAAAUUUCUUACCUGCAACAUACACUCUAUUUUCAGCCUCCCUGGACUGUUACAUAAUGAUACAUAAAAAUAUUUCUUGUGUUGAGGCAUCCCAAAUUUGAUUUAUUUGUCAUCACAGUCUAUCCUAUGAAUAUAUUUCUGAUCCAAAUAAUGCUAGAUUCAUGAGAGUUUAUAGUCCAGAGAUUUUUUUUUUUUUUUUGAGACAGAAUCUGUCUCCCAGGCUGGGGUGCAGUGGCAUAAUCUUAGCUCACUGCAACCUCUGCCUCCCGGGCUCAAGUGAUCCUCCCUCCUUAGCCUCCAUGAGUAGCUGGGACCACAGGUGUGCACCACCACACCCCGCUAAUUAUUUUGUAUUUUUUGCAGAGGGGGGUUUCACCACAUUGCCCAAGCUGGUCUCAAACUCCUAGACUUAAGGGAUCUGCCUGCCUUGGCCUCCCAAAAUGCUGAAAUUACACUUGUUAGCCAUAGUAAUAGUUCCUAGCCAUAGUCCGGAGAUAUUUUAAAAACUUUAGUGUGAGUUAUUUCUCUUUGCUAUAAUUCUCUCAUGCAUUUUGAAAACCUUUUCUGCCAUACAGUGGUUUUUGGGAAGUCCUUUUGGACAGACAUAUCACAGGAUGGAGAAACUAAAAAGAGAGAAUGCAUUAAAGAAAAAAUAGUACUUCGUAUUUCAGAAAUUACAAAAGGGUGUCAUGCCCCACAGCAUGGUGGGCAGUCAUUUGUAACCCACAGAACAUUGAGUUUCUAAAAUUUGAGUGUUUUUAACUUACGAAGGCCAACUUUACUGAUGAAGUGAUUACCCCAAAUAUGUGAAAUCCAUAUUUCAAGUACAAUAGUAGGAAAUUGGAAAUGGAUAGUUCAUUGUCAGUGUAUGAAAAACCUACUGAUUUUUUACGUUGAUUUUAUAUACUGCAACUUUAUUGAAUUCUCAACAAAUGGUGUUGAAAAAACUGGAUGUCCUCAUGAAGAAGAAUGAAAUUGAACACAUCACAUCCCAUAUACAAGAAUCAACUCAAAAUAUUUCCAAAUUCAAACAUUAUGAAGUUUGAGCUAUUUAGGAAGUUAAGGAGAUAAUCAGAUCAUUUCGUCAGACACCCUUAAGGCACUGAUGCUCUCAGUUGAUCUAGCAAAUAGGCAUCUGUCACAGAAAAUAGAGAAGAUAUCCCAAGAGAAGAGGAGAAACUCCACAAUGUGAAGAGAUUUCCAGAGGCAUCAGCACUCCGUCUGUCACUAUUGGCAUCCUGUGACAUGGUUUAGUUUAUGCGUGCUGGUUAGGCUGAUUUACAUAAUACAUUAUCUAGUUAUACCUUAAAUAAACCUCAAAACU